GUGCUUAAAGUCGAAGUGGUCGAGACACCAGCCUGUGAAGCUGGACAUUAACGGGUUCGAGUCCCGUUAAGCACCCCU
rnacentral:tRNA from 2 species